GACGAACGCUGGCGGCAGGCCUAACACAUGCAAGUCGAACGAGUGGCGGACGGGUGAGUCAUGUCUGGGAAACUGCCUGAUGGAGGGGGAUAACUACUGGAAACGGUAGCUAAUACCGCAUACCAUCGGAUGUGCCCAGAUGUGAUUUGCUAGGAGGGGGGGUAAAGGCUCACCUAGGCGACGAUCCCUAGCUGGUCUGAGAGGAUGACCAGCCACACUGGAACUGAGACACGGUCCAGAUUCCGACGGGAGGCAGCAGUGGGGAAUAUUGCACAAUGGGCGCAAGCCUGAUGCAGCCAUGCCGCGGGUAUGAAGAAGGCCUUCGGGUUGUAAAGUACUUUCAGCGGGGAGGCGUUACCCGCAGAAGAAGCACCGGCUAACUCCGUGCCAGCAGCCGCGGUAAUAC
rnacentral:rRNA from 1 species